rnacentral:lncRNA from 1 species
AAAAAAAAAAAAAAAUUUAGGACAACUAUAAAUUUUUUUUUGGGCCCCUUAGAUUUUUGGGCCCUGAGUCCCAAGCCUUUUGUGCCUCUAUUCAAAUCCGGGCUUGAUUGGUUACUAAAAUGAUAUUGCUACAAUGAGAUAAUCCACAAUCCAUCAAUUUUUUUCAUCUUGAUAUAAAAACUAAUGAUUUGGCAUAAAAAGCCUAACAACUUUGUAUAUAUAUCUAACUAUUGGUUGCUAAGAUGAUAUUGCUACAAUGAGAUAAUCCACAAUCCAUCAAUUUUUUCAUCUUGAUAUAAAAACUAAUGAUUUGGCAUAAAAAGCCUAACAACUUUGUAUAAAUAUGAAAUCGUUUUGCUCAAUUAUUUUUAUAUCAUUAAAGUUACC